GAAGGUAUUAAAUCAUCAUUUGGAUAGCUGACUAGAUAGAUUAUUACCAAAUUAAUGUCUUCUUCCAACUUGGUGACUAUGUGAAUGUGGAUAAAAAUACUGCGUUUCAAUUUGCAGAAAACUUCAUCACUGAGGAAUCCACAGAGGUCGUCACCACAGCUGAGGCUGUGCAUGAAUACAGGAAGCAGAUUGCCUGUAGCUGCUACAAAAUCCGGGCGAUGCAAAAGAUUACUGCAUAGUGUGCGCCCUGCUGGAGUGCGAUCCACAGCACAGCAUGAUUGGAAUGGUGCAGUGUGGGACAUAUCAUCGGUGGGCCCAUUUGGAAUGCGCCAAGUACACCGACGAAGAAAAUUACACCUGUCCAAAAUGCUUGUGAUUGAAUAAAUGCAGAAUAAAAAAGGAA